rnacentral:rRNA from 1 species
UACGGGGGGGGCAAGCGUUGUUCGGAAUUACUGGGCGUAAAGGGCUCGUAGGCGGCCAACUAAGUCAGACGUGAAAUCCCUCGGCUUAACCGGGGAACUGCGUCUGAUACUGGAUGGCUUGAGAUUGGGAGAGGGAUGCGGAAUUCCAGGUGUAGCGGUGAAAUGCGUAGAUAUCGGGAGGAACACCGGUGGCGAAGGCGGCGACCUGGGUCGAUACUGACGCUGAUGCGCGAAAGCGUGGGGAGCAAACAGG